UACGGGGGGGGCAAGCGUUGUUCGGAAUUACUGGGCGUAAAGGGCUCGUAGGCGGCCAACUAAGUCAUACGUGAAAUCCCUCGGCUUAACCGGGGAACUGCGUCUGAUACUGGAUGGCUUGAGAUUGGGAGAGGGAUGCGGAAUUCCAGGUGUAGCGGUGAAAUGCGUAGAUAUCUGGAGGAGCACCGGUGGCGAAGGCGGCAUUCUGGACCGAUAUUGACGCUGAGGAGCGAAAGCCAGGGGAGCAAACGGG
rnacentral:rRNA from 1 species